AUCAGGCAGAUGCUUGCCAGUGUAUCUGGGACAGGCCUGGAGGUACUGUUCGCUUGUCGGUCUGUGCCAUUCUCGCUGUCCUGUGAGGGCUGUGUGGUUGUCUGCUGUUUGGUAAUGCAGAGUCCAGAGAUGAACCGUGAAUUCGAGCCCCCAGGCAGCGAUUCGGGCCGGGUCAAUGGGCAGGUCCGUCCUGGCCUCCCCGUGUCUUCAGCUUCUGUUUGCCCUGCACUGCCCAUGUCUCACGCCUUCUCUUCUGUGGGGUGCUGUCCUCCAUGCGGGCACUCUAGGCUAGCCUUCCUCCCACAGUUCAGAAGCUCCAGGGCUUGUUAGGCUCUGGCCGUGGGAGUCCCUGAAGGUUCUCUCUGUGUCUUGUGCCAAGCUGUGCCAAGGCCAGCCUAGCUCUGAGGGUGGUUCUAGGGCACGGAAGUACAGGGGUGUGUGGCAUUUCUCUCAAGGAGCAUAUGGACGCCGGGAGGCCACUGCUGGAGGCCUCAGGCAGUCUUCACUGGGACGUGGACUCCCAGUUUGAGGUGUGCUGAGCACAUUUGUUCUCCAUGUGCUGUGUACUCAUGUUCACAAGGUGGCAUCCAGCGCUACACUGUGUUUAGACGUGAAGAACACGGAAGGGCUGUGUGCUAUCGCACGUGUAGUAGCUCAGGAGUUGGAGCAUGGAGGGCUGUGUGCUCACUGCUAGGGAAGAGGGAUCACACGUGUAGUAGCUCAGGAGCGUGGAGGGCUGUGUGUGCUCACUGCUAGGGAAGAGGAUCACACGUGUAGUAGAUCAGCUGGAGGAGCUGGAGGGCUGUGUGUGCUCACUGCUAGGGAAGAGGAUCACACGUGUUUAGCUCAGGAGGAGGAGCGUGGAGGGCUGUGUGUGCUCACUGCUAGGGAAGAGGGAUCACACGUGUAGUAGAUCAGGAGGAGGAGGGCUGUGUGUGCUCACUGCUAGGGAAGAGGAUCACACGUGCAGUAGAUGAGCAGGAGGAGCAUGGAGGGCUGUGUGUGCUCACUGCUAGGGAAGAGGAUCACACGUGUUUAGCUCAGGAGUUGGAGCGUGGAAGGCUGUGUGCUCACUGCUAGGGAAGAGGGAUCACACGUGCAGUAGCUCAGGAGCGUGGAGGGCUGUGUGUGCUCACUGCUAGGGAAGAGGAUCACACGUGUAGUAGCUCUCAGCUCUGGAAGGCAGGAGUGCUUGCAUGGAGUGGCUCAGUCCUCUGUCCUGGGUGUAAUGUUGAAGUGGUGGGGGAUGCUGUUGGGAUCUGCUGGCUUCUUCUUUGCAGCAUAUCAGGUUGUUGCAGAACUCAGUUCCGUGUGCUGGGGGCCGUGCUCUGUGGUCUCCUUGCUGCCUGUCAGCUGGGGGAGGAGAAUGCUGUCGGCUCUGUGCUUGUGAGGUGAGGUGGGGCAGUGUUGCAGGAACUCUGCAGUUGCAGCCGCUCAGGCCUGUGGGUCAUCCCCAAGAAGUGGGUCAGAUUCUUCUUUCCAGUGGAUGUUUCUUUAUCUUCUUUUUUUUUAAGAUUUAUUUUAUGAGGGGCAGAGUUACAGAAGAGUGUUUGUGGGUGGGAAGGAAAGAAAAUCUUUGACCUGCUCGUUCACUCCGCGGAUGGCUGCAUGGCCAGAGCUGGGUCAGGCUGAAGCCAGGAGCCCAGAGUUUCCUCCAGGUUCUCCCACCUGGGCAGGGGCUCAAGCACGUCUGCCGGUUCUGCUGCUUCCUCAGGCGCAUUAGCAGGAGCUGACUAGAGCUGGAGCAGGCGCCUGUGUGGGAUGCUGGCGCCUCAGGCAGGAGCGGCUGUGCCAUGCACUGCACCUUACUGGGUCCUUUAGAAACGGCAGCGCCACGACCCAGCUGUUGGGCUUGUACGAGAACUUCUGUUCACGGUGUGGUUCUUAUCUCAGCCACAGGCAGCUGGUGUGGGGUGGGCCAGGACUUCCUAGCUCUGAUUCUUACCGGUUUCCAAAGGAUAAAGUUUGCCUUAGGGGUCAAAGUCCAUGCUAAUGAGGUAGUCUAUGUGAACAAAUCAGGGAGUAGGUAGAGCCAGGGACCAGUCAGCAGGGGCCUAAGAUGGAGCCCAUGUUACAUGGGGAGGUUAGGUGUGCUCAGACAGGUCCACGGUGGGUGGGGCUGGUGAACAGCAGAAGCCAAUCAGCAUGGCCACGUGAGAUGCUUAUAGCUGCAGGAGGCUGUGGAUCCAUCACAGUGUGGAAGUUCUGGGCCACUCGGCUGGGUGCCUGGGCCCUUUGGGAACCCCACAGGCUGUCAUCUAUAUCAGUGACAGCCGUCCCCUGUGUCUCUGUCUGUGAGGUGGGGUGAUGGUGACAGCCGUCCCCUGUGUCUCUGUCCUCUGUGAGGUGGGGUGAUGGUGACAGCCGUCCCCUGUGUCUCUGUCCUCUGUGAGGUGGGGUGAUGGUGACAGCCGUCCCCUGUGUCUCUGUCCUCUGUGAGGUGGGGUGAUGUUGACAGCCGUCCCCUGUGUCUCUGUCCUCUGUGAGGUGGGGUGAUGGUGACAGCUGUCCCCUGUGUCUCUGUCUCUGUGAGGUGGGGUGAUGUUGACAGCUGUCCCCUGUGUCUCUGUCCUCUGUGAGGUGGGGGUGAUGGUGACAGCCGUCCCCUGUGUCUCUGUCCUCAUCAGAAAGGUGGGGGUGAUGGUGACAGCCGUCCCCUGUGUCUCUGUCCUCUGUGAGGUGGGGUGAUGGUGACAGCCGUCCCCUGUGUCUCUGUCCUCUGUGAGGUGGGGUGAUGGUGACAGCCGUCCCCUGUGUCUCUGUCCUCAUCAGAAAGGUGGGGGUGAUGGUGACAGCCAUCCCCUGUGUCUCUGUCCUCUGUGAGGUGGGGUGAUGGUGACAGCCGUCCCCUGUGUCUCUGUCCUCAUCAGAAAGGUGGGGUGAUGGUGACAGCCGUCCCCUGUGUCUCUGUCCUCUGUGAGGUGGGGUGAUGGUGACAGCCGUCCCCUGUGUCUCUGUCCUCUGUGAGGUGGGGUGAUGUUGACAUCCGUCCCCUGUGUCUCUGUCCUCAGUGAGUGGGGUGAUGGUGACAGCCGUCCCCUGUGUCUCUGUCCUCGUCUGUCAGAUAGAGGUGAUGUUGACAGCUGUUCCCGUGUGCCUGUUCUCUGUGAGCCAUGGGAGCUGUAGUAUCAGUGGGCCUCUCCCAGAUCCUCCUUUUGAGUUGGGGUAAUAAUAUUGCUCAGGCCUGUAUCAGCAAAUUGUCUCUUAGUUCUCUGUGAUUAAAUGAACAGCGUUUGUGUUUCCUGUGGUGAGUGAGUGGCAGCUGUUACUAGAACCAUGGGAGCCCACAUGCCGUGUCGGUGCCUGGGUUCAGUCCUAGCUGCAGCUGCUGAUCUCAGCUUCCUGUGGUGCAGUCUCCGCUGGUGGCUCAAGUGCUCGGUGAGGACUCGAGGUCAGGGUCACACACGCGUUAGGGGCCUGAGGGCAAUGGAGACCCACGGGGACUUUGUAAACCAGGAAAGUCAGAUCCUCUGAACCACCCAACCCAAGCCUUAUGCAUCUUCUAAGUGUGAACGCUCUGUGUUGAGAAAUCAUGGACAGGCUGGCUUGGGGAUAAGACACCAGUUUUGGGGGCAAGAAGGUGAACCCCCAAUGAACUAUCUCUGUCUGACCCCGUGUGUCCUCCCCAUCUGU